CCUACGGGUGGCAGCAGUGGGGAAUAUUGCGCAAUGGGCGCAACCCUGACCCAGCAACGCCGCGUGAAGGAAGAAGUCUUUCGGGUUGUAAACUUCUUUUGUCAGGGACGAAGCAAGUGACGGUACCUGACGAAUAAGCCACGGCUAACUACGUGCCAGCAGCCGCGGUAAUACGUAGGUGGCAAGCGUUAUCCAGAUUUAUUGGGUGUAAAGGGCGUGUAGGCGGGAAUGCAAGUCAGAUGUGAAAGCUAGGGGCUCAACCCAUAGCCUGCAUUUGAAACUGUAUUUCUUGAGUGCUGGAGAGGCAAUCGGAAUUCCGGGUGUAGCGGUGAAAUGCGUAGAUAUACGGAGGAACACCAGUGGCGAAGGCGGAUUGCUGGACAGUAACUGACGCUGAGGCGCGAAAGCGUGGGGAGCAAACAGGAUUAGAUACCCCAGUAGUC
rnacentral:rRNA from 1 species